UGUGGGGGGUCUUGGGGAAUCAGUGGGAAACAGACCCCUUGGGGAGCAAGUUCUGGAUGUCUUGAGGAGUCAGCAUGUUGGAGACAAUGGACUCCCAAUCAAGGACAGGCUCUAUGGGUGCUGGGGAGUCAUCAGGGGAGAGAAAUAAAGAGGGGCAGAGUCUACAAGCCCCUAGGAAGUAAAUAGUAGUUGAGAUACAGAGAUCUUUAAGGAGGAGGUAGCCCCCUGCAGAGGGGAAGAGCAUGAGGGUUAUAGGAGGAUGAGCAGAGGGUAGGUACGUGCAAUUUUAUAGAGGGAAAUUGUCUGUCUCUGGAGUUAGUGUGAUGGAGGCCCAGUGCCCCUUUGUCAGUGGGAAGUUGUGAAUGGGCUGGCAAGUUAGGAGAUCUAGAGGUUUGGAGCAGAGCCUGAGGAGACCUUGGGAAGUCAAUGUGGGGAGAAACAGACACACUGGGGAAGGGCCUGCUAUAUGGGCCUACUAUGUGCAGGCCCUGUGCUAAGUGCUUUAUGCUAUCUCAUUUGAUUCUCACAAUUAUCUUCAUGUUUUUACACAUGAGUAAAUUGAGGCAGACAGAUGAAAUAACUUGUCUGGGGUAACUCAACUAGUAAAUGUCUAAGGCAGGGGGAGGAAGAGUGAGAACCCUGUGUAGGGGAUAGCUUUGGGGGAGACUAGGGAUUUGGUGAGGGACACAGAACUUUUGUGGUGGACGAUGUGGGCAACUUAAGAGUUAUUGAGGGGAGACCCAGACGAAUGGCCAGCUGCUGUGGGAGUCUGGAGGGUCCCUAUGGAGAAGAGUUUUGGAUUGUCUACGCCAUGCAUCUCUGGUCACGACAUGGAGAAUGUGGAACUACACCACUGCUCAGAGGACCUGAGAUCUCAGCGGAAUGGAGGACUCCCAACGGACAGACAACUUUAGGAGGUGAGUGGGAGAAUAAGGCCUGGAACUGGCCGUGGGAUUUCACUUGGUAUAGGGAACUGCCAGGUAGGGAAAUUCUCUCCCACUGAAGGUCAGCAACUUCUCUCCAAUGGGUAGUCUUUGACAAGUGGCCAGGGACAUUGAUCGGUUAAGUAACUUGUUUUAGGUGAUGUAGGCAUCAGAGAUGACACUUGAAUGCACCAUAUAUUCCUGACUUUGAGGAUAGCUCUCUACCUCGUAUUCUACACUGCCUCUCAGGGUGGUACAGUCAGUAGUCCAAGUAGCAUUAGUCCUAUUUUACCAGUGAAGAACCUUUCCAAACAAGGCCACCCAGCUCAUAAGUGUUAGAACUGGGACUCUAACACUGAUCUCCUCAUUUCAAAUUCAGAGUUCUUUCUAAUACAACAACCACACUGGCUUCCCAUGAGUGCAAUAUAGGGAGGAAUACCUGGGACAGUCUGGUUUGUUACAUUUCGUAUGACCGAAUUCCUCCUGUCCUCUUGGUACCUGAAAGGAGUGGUUUUCAGACUCUGAAAUCCUUUCUCCCCCUAGGCCAAAGGAGGGGUAGUGCGGCCUUGACAAUCCUGGCUGAGCAACAGUUUGGGGUGCAUUCUCUUCAGGAUUCAUUUUGUACAUGAUUUGGAGCAAAUAUUUCCUGGUCACCUCAGUGAGAAAUGUCAAAAGAUGAGCCAUUUGUCCACCUCGAAGGACCAUUGCAAAAUCCACAGUGGCCAACACAAAGCAUUUUGGGUUGUUUCAGUCCUUACUGCUGCCAGUUUUCCAUUUCACAACUCAAGGGACUUCUGGCCAGCACAGUGAGAGUGGAUUAUGAGUCCCUCAGAAGGUCCCUUUAUUUGUUUUCACCUUCACCUGUUCACCAAUGGCAGGUAGUUUGUUUCUGAUUUUUUUGUUAUGGCAAAAAGUGCUGCUCUGUGUAUGGAUUUAUGUAUUCUCUACAGGUGGGGCUUUCAUUGUUGUUUGUCACAUCCCUAGGGCAUAAACUCAAAUGCCAGGUUGGAAGUUGUUUUUCUUGAAUUCUAACUUGUUUUCCCAUAUGAUUGGACUAACUCAACAACUAAAUAUGACAGCAACAGUUCUCAGGGUGUGAUCUGAGGAUCCCCAGGGUUCACCAAGAACCAUAAAAGUCUUUUUAGGGAUCUCAAGUAGCAACAAUAAACUCCACCACACAGUGGGUAGAGCA
ensembl:lncRNA